GAUGAACGCUGGCGGCGUGACUAAUACAUGCAAGUCGAGCGAACAGACGAGGAGCUUGCUCCUCUGACGUUACCGGCGGACGGGUGAGUAACACGUGGAUUACCUACCUAUCAGACUGGGAUAACUUCGGGAAACCGGAGCUAAUACCGGAUAAUAUAUUGAACCGCAUGGUUCAAUAGUGAAAGACGGUUUUGCUGUACCUUCUAGAUGGUUCCGCGCCGCAUUAGCUAGUUGGUAAGGUAACGGCUUACCAAGGCAACGAUGCGUAGCCGACCUGAGAGGGUGAUCGGCCACACUGGAACUGAGACACGGUCCAGACUCCUACGGGAGGCAGCAGUAGGGAAUCUUCCGCAAAGGGCGAAAGCUUGACGGAGCAACGCCGCGUGAGUGAUGAAGGUCUUCGGAUCGUAAAACUCUGUUAUUAGGGAAGAACAAAUGUGUAAGUAACUAUGCACGUCUUGACGGUACCUAAUCAGAAAGCCACGGCUAACUACGUG
rnacentral:rRNA from 1 species